UUAUGGCUGGAAUAGCCAGUGGUUGAAUGUGCAUUUAAACACUUGGUAAACACUUUUAAUUAUGAUGGUGGGUUGCCCACCACUUAUAAGAGUUAAUGUUUGGGAAAAUUGCCUCUAAUAGAAUUAGUCCUACUUUCAUCUUUUGUGAUGGAAAAUAACUAAGGUCCAAAGGUUUAAGGCAAGGAACAUAAACCUUUUAGAAAAUUCUAAAGAGGCACUGACUUCUCAGGUUGCUAUGACUCAGCUUGGUUCUGGUUCUUUCUGAAAAAAACGUUCCAUUAGAGGAGUGUGGAAUGUUCUUAUGGCCAUUCUAAGCCCACAAGUACUUAAUUUCUCCACAAAGAGGAAAAAAGCUAUUGUUUUCGGUUUACUCAGAUUUUUUUUCUUACUCAUUUCAUUAUUGGCCAAUCUUCAAAAUGAAAGCUAUGGUGAUAUCCUAGGAAGUUCAUCUCAAGGGCAGCCGGCAAGAACAGAGAAGGUGGACAGAGGACACUGACACAGAGCCAGGGAAAGCAAGGAGACCUCGCCCCCCCAAAGGUGAUCACAUAAAUGGAUGGAAAGUCCAUGUCUGGAUGUGUGAAAGUGAAGGCUUUUUAUGAGUGACUAGCCCACCUGAAGGCCCCAGUGGGGUCAGCUGCCUGAACCAUGCUCCUCCGGAAUCAGACAUGGUGCCAUCGCAGGUGAAAAAGGACGAGCGGAUUCUAGCAACCCAGAGUUAGUGCAGAAAGAAAAGUUUCUAAAUGACAGAGAGAAGGAAAUCCUUUGCAGAUCUUCUAAGUCCAAAGGCGGUUGUAGAAACAGGGCCACGUGUGGCCACCUGGACUGCAGGACAAGAGGAGUCAGGGUACAGAGCAUCUUCAACCCACAAACAGAUCCCCAAAGGGCACUGGGGAGGCCAUGGGCUUAUGCCUCAGUUUUUUUAAAAUAUAAAUGUUCGUUGGUCCUUU
rnacentral:lncRNA from 12 species